GGACGUGUGGCUUCUUUGGAGUUCUUUUGAGAGUGAUGUGUUUCCAUGAGCCUCAACACAACUGAAAGUGAAGCUCCCAGAGCUGUGUGAGUCCCACCUACCUCCAUGCUCCUGGAUAGCACAACCUGAAUGUGUUGGAAUUUGGCUGAAAUGUGGCAAUUAGUAAUCUUUUCCCUGCAAAAGCCAGAACUCAGAAUUUCUCCAGCAGAAGAUAUUAUAGCCUUGGCCUGCUUUUACCCGGCUUCCUUCCUUGUGGCAUGGCUGGAAAAGGACUAUGUGUAAGGCUGAUGAAGUCCACACCAGAUUAGAGCUUUCUUUAAAUGCUUCCAAGGCUUGAAAACUGAAGAUUGCCAUAAGGCUUGUUGGAGUUCUUCAUUAAAUCCAGAAUCUGCAUCAAAUGAUCUGUAGUAUUCUGCAGCACAUAAAGGUUUCAAAGCAACAAUUACUCUAUUAUUUCAGUAGAGAUUACCUGUUUGAAAUGAAAACCCACACUGAAUCCUUUCUGACCUGGUCCUUAUUGUGAUACUGAUAACAAGCCACACUUUCCAGUCUUUAUCUUACCUCCUACAGGGUAAUCUUUUCUUGUGGAGCUUAAUUCUGCUAAUAGCACCCUUGACUGGGUGCCAGACAACAAACAUAAGCAGGUGAAAAAUGAAUGGCUCCAGUCUGACCGCUGAUAACUGCUAGAGACUUUUUAUUCUUGGAAUUCCCUCCAAAAUAUACAAGUUGACUGGUGGGUAAUCAAUUACAUUCCUUGUAUGCUUCGCCCUCCUUCAGACUGGGUAUUCUUUGAAAGAAAUUGUGAUGAUCUUUUCUACAGUUUCAGAUUCUCUUUUUUUCCCUCUUCCUCCAAACAACAGUAAAUAGUAAUUCCAGAU